rnacentral:lncRNA from 1 species
ACCAUUAGAUGGUUGACAUGUGGCAGACGCGUAAGACAACAAAUGGAAUGCUGGAUGUGCGGCACUUGUUGCACUGGAAAAGCACUAGCUCCCCUUUAAUGUAUUAUAUAGAUUAUAAAAGGCAUUUAAGAUAUUAUAUAUUAUAAUUUUUAUAUAUUUUAUUAUUUUUUAAAAAAUAAUAUUUUAUUAUUAUAUUUUUUUCGUUCUUCUCCAACCUGCUGCCUAUGGCUUCUCCGUGCUCACCCCUCCCUCGAGUGACGCCACCCGCAGAUCCUUCACGUGGCAUCCCCCCCUCCCUGGGCC